rnacentral:rRNA from 1 species
GUGGGGAAUAUUGCGCAAUGGGGGAAACCCUGACGCAGCAACGCCGCGUGAGUGAUGAAGGCUUUCGAGUCGUAAAACUCUGUCUUUGGGGACGAAUAAUGACGGUACCCAAGGAGGAAGCCCCGGCUAACUACGUGCCAGCAGCCGCGGUAAUACGUAGGGGGCAAGCGUUGUCCGGAAUCACUGGGCGUAAAGGGCGCGUAGGCGGUUUGUUAAGUCAGGUGUGAAAGUUUUCAGCUUAACUGGAAAAGUGCACUUGAAACUAACUUACUUGAGUACUGGAGAGGUAAGCGGAAUUCCUAGUGUAGCGGUGAAAUGCGUAGAUAUUAGGAAGAACACCGGUGACGAAGGCGGCUUACUGGACAGAGACUGACGCUGAGGCGCGAAAGCGUGGGGAGCGAACAGGAUUAGAUACCCUAGUAGUCC